rnacentral:rRNA from 1 species
UCGGGGUGUGACUGCGUACCUUUUGUAUAAUGGGUCAGCGACUUAUAUUCUGUAGCAAGGUUAACCGUAUAGGGGAGCCGGAGGGAAACCGAGUCUUAAUUGGGCGUUAAGUUGCAGGGUAUAGACCCGAAACCCGGUGAUCUAGCCAUGGGCAGGUUGAAGGUUGGGUAACACUAACUGGAGGACCGAACCGACUAAUGUUGAAAAAUUAGCGGAUGACCUGUGGCUGGGGGUGAAAGGCCAAUCAAACCGGGAGAUAGCUGGUUCUCCCCGAAAGCUAUUUAGGUAGCGCCUCGUGAAUUCAUCUCCGGGGGUAGAGCACUGUUUCGGCUAGGGGGCCAUCCCGGCUUACCAACCCGAUGCAAACUGCGAAUACCGGAGAAUGUUAUCACGGGAGACACACGGCGGGUGCUAACGUCCGUCGUGAAGAGGGAAACAACCCAGACCGCCAGCUAAGGUCCCAAAGUCAUGGUUAAGUGGGAAACGAUGUGGGAAGGCCCAGACAGCCAGGAUGUUGGCUUAGAAGCAGCCAUCAUUUAAAGAAAGCGUAAUAGCUCACUGGUCGAGUCGGCCUGCGCGGAAGAUGUAACGGGGCUAAACCAUGCACCGAAGCUGCGGCAGCGAACGUAUCACCCAAGACAACUUUACGGAGUUGACGAUUGACGGAGCGAAGCGACGUCAAAGCGUUCAUUAAAGUCGAGUUGGCUUAGGGAUACGUUCGUUGGGUAGGGGAGCGUUCUGUAAGCCUGUGAAGGUGUGUCGUGAGGCAUGCUGGAGGUAUCAGAAGUGCGAAUGCUGACAUAAGUAACGAUAAAGCGGGUGAAAAGCCCGCUCGCCGGAAGACCAAGGGUUCCUGUCCAACGUUAAUCGGGGCAGGGUGAGUCGACCCCUAAGGCGAGGCCGAAAGGCGUAGUCGAUGGGAAACGGGUUAAUAUUCCCGUACUUGGUGUUACUGCGAAGGGGGGACGGAGAAGGCUAUGUUGGCCGGGCGACGGUUGUCCCGGUUUAAGCGUGUAGGUGUGUGUUCCAGGUAAAUCCGGUUCACUUUAACACUGAGGCGUGACGACGAGGCACUACGGUGCUGAAGCAACAAAUGCCCUGCUUCCAGGAAAA